CCAAUCCGACAGGAUCCUUUGCUGAGAACCACUCAUACAAACACGGAAUAGACUCAGAUAUGGCAGGCGUCCGGGUAGCCCUACUAUCUUUGUUCGUAGUGUUGGUUUUAGUUAACUCCGCCGAUGCUAAAUGUACUAAGCCUCCUUGCCCACCCAAAGAGUGCAAUAGCAAGACGACCAUUUGUUACGACAGAUCAAAUUCAGGAGUGUUUAUUCCUAUGAAGCGUCAAGAUAAUUCCGGUGAAAUGAACCCACUAACAACGUAACGUCACAUACACAAAUUAGGCCUACAGCAGUAUCGAAAUGGAAAGGAAAAUGUUCAAUCAAAAUCGUUAUU